AAUGAUUGUAAUUUAACCAACUGGGUAGUCCAAAACCAACCAACCAACCAACCAACCAACCAACCAACCAACCAACCAACCAAACGUGUCCAAACACUUUGAAACUGUAUGUUAAAAGCAAACAGAAUGGUGCAGAGAUGACUCAACAGUUGAGAGCACUGGUCAUUCUUUCAGAGAACCGAGGUUCGAUUCCCAGCACCCGCAUCAGGCGUCUCACAAUCAUCUGUAAUUCCAGUUCCAGGGCAUCCACUGAUGCCUUCUGACUCCUUCAGACACCAGGUACACAAGCAGCGUACAGAUAUACAUGCACACAAAAUAUCCAUACACAUAAAAUGGAAUAAAAUUACACCUUAAGCUAAAGGUUCUGAAACCUGUUAGCAGCAGUGCAGAGAAGCUACCAAACUAGGCCACUCCGUGAGGAGAACUCAUGUUUGAGUGUGCUAACAGUUUUAAGGAAACCUUUAUAGGAACAGAAACAAGAAAACCCUGGUUACCGCAAAGCUGGAAAGCCUCUCGUAUAAACCUGUUAUCUGAAGACAUUAUUAGCCUUGUUAGGGGUCUGUUUGUACAUUCCAGAGUGAAUUUCUAUCUGUUGGUCACAAGGCUCUCAGGUCAAGCAGAGAUGUGGGCAAUAAGUUGUUAUCUAGGGUGCUUGAAUGGCCCAGGAUAAUUUAUCUCCUGGACCCGUGACCUCCCAGGUCUGAGAACUUCAGUUCAUAAAUGAUUGCUCCUUGGAGAUGGAGUUGUGAUUUUGUUUUUGUUUUCUGUUUCACCAGUCUCUUCUUUUUUCUAUCCCACUUGCUCUCGUGUCUGCCUUCUCUCUCAUGCUGGGCUUGGGGCCAGGGUUGUGUGGAUAGAAUACAAGUGUCCUACUGCUGAACAACACCCUCUGGCAGAAAUGUUAAUUUUCUUUUUCCUAUUUCUCUCCCCUCUGCUACAGUUAAGAGACAUAACUUUAUAAUCAGAUCGCUGUUAGCACCAUACUCCCUCUCUACCCUCCUUUCUCUCUCUUCCAGGCUCCCCAUUGGCUACGUCCUCCUGUGUGUGAAUGUAGUUUAACACGCAGAGGUGUUCUUUGAGUGUGGACUGAACUACGAUCUUCCCACGUCACCAGUGCCUUUCCAGGGAUCUCACUGUACAUCCCGCAAUGGGCUCAAACGCGUCACUCUACCGUCCCGACCUCCCAAGUGGCUGUGAUUACAGGUGUGUACCACUACACUCAGCUCUCUAAAAUUUCGAUUCUAUUUCUAACAUAAUGGUUGCAAUAAUUAUGGCAGAUUUUUUUCAGAUUUAAUCUGUAUUAUCAGCACCUUUCUGUCCCUUUCUUUUUAAAGGUUUAGACAACCAGGCAGCAAUGGACUGAGCUCAGAGUUGCAGGGUCUCAGCUGUCACAGUAGACACACACACAGUGCAUGUGGUUUCAAGCUGCCGUCAUCAACUUUCUAAGCAUUCAGGUUGUCUGUAAACACGGCCCAUCGGCCCACACACGGCCAGUGCUUACAGUAACUUCCAUGUCGUGGCUAUGGAAACCACCUUGGCAGGCAGUCGGGUGUGGCUGGCAAGAUAAAUCUUCACUUUCACCCUCACAUCGAAGGGCCGAGAAGCACCUAAAGAAAUGUUCAACAUCUUUAGUCAUCAGGGACAUGCAAAUCAAAACAACCCUGA
rnacentral:sRNA from 1 species